CAAUAGCGUAUAUUAAAGUUGUUGCGGUUAAAAAGCUCGUAGUUGGAUUUCUGCUGAGGACGACCGGUCUGCCCACUGGGUGUGUAUCUGGUACGGCCUUGGCAUCUUCUUGGAGAACGUAUCUGCACUUCAUUGUGUGGUGCGGUAACCAGGACCUUUACUUUGAGGAAAUUAGAGUGUUUCAAGCAGGCGUGCGCCUUGAAUACAUUAGCAUGGAAUAAUAAGAUAGGACCUUAGUUCUAUUUUGUUGGUUUCUAGAGCUGGGGUAAAGAUUAAUAGGGAUAGUUGGGGGCAUUCGUAUUUAACUGUCAGAGGUGAAAUUCUUGGAUUUGUUAAAGACGGACUACUGUGAAAGCAUUUGCCAAGGAUGUUUUCAUUGA
rnacentral:rRNA from 1 species